rnacentral:rRNA from 1 species
GACAGAGGGUGCAAACGUUGUUCGGAUUUACUGGGCGUAAAGCGUGUGUAGGCGGCUUGGCAAGUUGGAUGUGAAAGCCCACGGCUCAACCGUGGAAGCGCAUCCAAAACUGCUUCGCUGGAGUCUCGGAGAGGAAGGUGGAAUGCUUGGUGUAGAGGUGAAAUUCGUAGAUAUCAAGCAGAACACCUGCGGCGAAGGCGGCUUGCUGGGCCUUACCUGACGCUGAGGAGCGAAAGCGUGGGGAGCGAACAGG